rnacentral:rRNA from 1 species
AACGAACGCUGGCGGCAGGCUUAACACAUGCAAGUCGAGCGCCCCGCAAGGGGAGCGGCAGACGGGUGAGUAACGCGUGGGAAUCUACCCAUCUCUACGGAAUAACGCAUGGAAACGUGUGCUAAUACCGUAUACGUCCUUCGGGCGAAAGCUUUAUCGGAGAUGGAUGAGCCCGCGUUGGAUUAGCUAGUUGGUGGGGUAAAGGCCUACCAAGGCGACGAUCCAUAGCUGGUCUGAGAGGAUGAUCAGCCACACUGGGACUGAGACACGGCCCAGACUCCUACGGGAGGCAGCAGUGGGGAAUAUUGGACAAUGGGCGCAAGCCUGAUCCAGCCAUGCCGCGUGAGUGAUGAAGGCCCUAGGGUUGUAAAGCUCUUUCACCGGUGAAGAUAAUGACGGUAACCGGAGAAGAAGCCCCGGCUAACUUCGUGCCAGCAGCCGCCGCGGUAA